rnacentral:piRNA from 1 species
AAAUUGGAGGGGCUCUGAUGUCUUUGUC